rnacentral:rRNA from 1 species
AAAAACAUGGCCUUCAGGCAAUAAUUGAAGGUUAGGCCUGCCCGCUGAUUAAAGUUGAAGGGCUGCAGUAAUUUGACUGUGCAAAGGUAGCAUAAUAUUUCGUUCCUUGAUUGGGGACUUGAAUGAAAGGUCCGACGUGAUAUCAGCUGUCUCAAAUGAUUAUAAUAAAUUUAACCUUUGAGUAAUAAGGCUUAAAUACUAAUAAGGGACGAUAAGACCCUAUAGAACUUUAUAAUGAAUAUGUUGAGGUAAUAUAUUUAUUAUUUUACUGGGGUGGUAAGGAAAUAAAUAAACUUUACUUCAAUAAUAGACGUCUAUUAUUGAAUAAAUGACCCAUUAUUAAUGAUUAUCAGAGUAAGUUACCUUAGGGAUAACAGCUUAAUCUGUUUUUGGAGUUCUUAUCUGAAGAUGGGCUUGAGACCUCGAUGUUGGAUUAAGAUUAGGUUUAGACGGAGAAGUUUAAAUUAUAAGUCUGUUCGACUUUUAAAUUCUUACGUGAUCUGAGU